UGAGCUGGGGGUGGCCGCAGAGACCAGCGAGAAGCGACUGUUUACUAAAAACACAGGUCCGUGCGAAGCCGUAAGGCGAUGUAUACGGACUGACGCCUGCCCGGUGCUGGAACGUUAAGGGGACCGGUUAGCUCACCUUCGGGUGGGCGAAGCUGAGAACUUAAGCGCCAGUAAACGGCGGUGGUAACUAUAACCAUCCUAAGGUAGCGAAAUUCCUUGUCGGGUAAGUUCCGACCUGCACGAAUGGCGUAACGACUUCUCGACUGUCUCAACCAUAGGCCCGGUGAAAUUGCACUACGAGUAAAGAUGCUCGUUUCGCGCAGCAGGACGGAAAGACCCCGGGACCUUUACUACAGUUUGAUAUUGGUGUUCGGUUCGGCUUGUGUAGGAUAGCUGGGAGACUGUGAAGCUCGGACGCCAGUUCGGGUGGAGUCGUCGUUGAAAUACCAGUCUGGUCGUGCUGGAUGUCUAACCUGGGUCCGUGAUCCGGAUCAGGGACAGUGUCUGAUGGGUAGUUUAACUGGGGCGGUUGCCUCCUAAAGAGUAACGGAGGCGCCCAAAGGUUCCCUCAGCCUGGUUGGCAAUCAGGUGUUGAGUGUAAGUGCACAAGGGAGCUUGACUGUGAGACCGACGGGUCGAGCAGGGACGAAAGUCGGGACUAGUGAUCCGGCGGUGGCUUGUGGAAGCGCCGUCGCUCAACGGAUAAAAGGUACCCCGGGGAUAACAGGCUGAUCUUCCCCAAGAGUCCAUAUCGACGGGAUGGUUUGGCACCUCGAUGUCGGCUCGUCGCAUCCUGGGGCUGGAGUCGGUCCCAAGGGUUGGGCUGUUCGCCCAUUAAAGCGGUACGCGAGCUGGGUUUAGAACGUCGUGAGACAGUUCGGUCCCUAUCCGCUGUGCGCGUAGGAGUCUUGAGAAGGGCUGUCCCUAGUACGAGAGGACCGGGACGGACGAACCUCUGGUGUGCCAGUUGUUCUGCCAAGGGCAUGGCUGGUUGGCUACGUUCGGGAGGGAUAACCGCUGAAAGCAUCUAAGCGGGAAGCCUGCUUCGAGAUGAGGACUCCCACCUCCUAGAGAGGGUAAGGCUCCCAGUAGACGACUGGGUUGAUAGGCCGGAUAUGGAAGCACGGUAACGUGUGGAGUUGACCGGUACUAAUAGGCCGAGGGCUUGUCCUCAGUUG
rnacentral:rRNA from 1 species